CCCUGAUGCACAAGGUACUUCAAAUAAACUUUUUUAAUUUUUAUUUUUCAAAAUUUUCAAUUUUCCUUUUCAGUCCUACAAAACUUUUUAUUUAAAUCCUAUACAUAUUUUAUAUACCUUUUUCUUUCCAAUCUUCCAACAAAAUUUAUUAAAAAAA
rnacentral:rRNA from 1 species